AUUGAACGCUGGCGGCAUGCCUUACACAUGCAAGUCGAACGGCAGCACGGGUGCUUGCACCUGGUGGCGAGUGGCGAACGGGUGAGUAAUACAUCGGAACAUGUCCUGUAGUGGGGGAUAGCCCGGCGAAAGCCGGAUUAAUACCGCAUACGAUCUACGGAUGAAAGCGGGGGACCUUCGGGCCUCGCGCUAUAGGGUUGGCCGAUGGCUGAUUAGCUAGUUGGUGGGGUAAAGGCCUACCAAGGCGACGAUCAGUAGCUGGUCUGAGAGGACGACCAGCCACACUGGGACUGAGACACGGCCCAGACUCCAACGGGAGGCAGCAGUGGGGAAUUUUGGACAAUGGGCGAAAGCCUGAUCCAGCAAUGCCGCGUGUGUGAAGAAGGCCUUCGGGUUGUAAAGCACUUUUGUCCGGAAAGAAAUCCUUGGCCCUAAUACGGUCGGGGGAUGACGGUACCGGAAGAAUAAGCACCGGCUAACUACGUG
rnacentral:rRNA from 1 species